CCUCGUCACUACCUCCUCCCAUAGAUGCUGUCUGGCCUGCUGAGCAUUUUGCAUUUUUAUUUUUUUCCUUUAUUCCCACUCUCUGUUUCCUGCCAAUCAACCAAUGCUCUAUCCACAUAUGUAAUUUUCCCGUAAUUCCACGGGCUCUUAUCUUGUUUAGCAGCCUCAUGUGCGGCACCUUAUCAAAGGCCUUCUGAAAAUCCAAAUACGCAACAUCUACUGCAUCUCCCUUGUCUAGCCUACUUGUAAUUUCCUCAAAAAAUUGCACUAGGUUUGUCAGGCAGGAUUUUCCUUUAAGGAAACCAUGCUGAGUUCUGCCUAUCUUGUCAUAUGCCUCCAGGUACCCGUAACCUCAUCCUUGACAAUCAACUCUAACAACUUCCCAAGCUAACAGGUCUAUAAUUUCUUUUUUGCUUCCUUGCCCCCUUCUUAAAUAGCAGAGUGACAUUUGCAAUCUUCCAGUCCUCUGGAACCAGGCCAGAAUCUAUUGACUUUUGAAAGAUCAUUGCUAAUGCCUCCGCAAUCUCCACAGCUACUUCCUUCAGAACACGAGGGUGCAUUCCAUCUAGUCCGGGAGAUUUAUCCACCCUUAGACUAUUCAGCUUCCUGAGUACUUUCUCGGUCGUAAUUGUGACUGUGCAUAUUCCUCUUCCCUAUGUCCGGUAUAUUGCUGAUAUCUUCCUCAGUGAAGACUGACGCAAAAUACUCAUUCAGUUCCUCUGUCAUCUCCUUAUCUCCCAUUACAAUUUCUCCAGCAUCAUUUUCUAUCAGUGCUAUAUCUACUCUCACCUGUCUUUUACUCUUUACAUACUUGAAAAAGCUUUUCGUAUCCUCUUUGAUAUUACUUGCUGGCUUCCUUUCGUAGUUCAUCCUUUCCCUCUUAAUGACCUUCUUAGUUUCCUUUUGUAAGCUUUUAAAAACUUCCCAAUCCUCUGUCUUCCCACUAAUUUUUGCUUCCUUGUAUGCCCUCUGCUUUGAUUUUACUUUGGCUUUGACUUCUCUUGUCAGCCACAUUUGCAUCCUUUCUCCAUUCGAAAAUUUCUUCUUUUUUGGAAUAUAUCUGUCUUGCACCUUCCUCACUUCUCACAUAAACUCCAAACACUGCUGCUCUGCCGUCCUUUCCGCUAGUGUCCCUUUCCAGUCAACUUUGGUCAGUUCCUCUUUCAUACCACUGAAAUUUCCUAUACUCCACUGAAAUACCGACACAUCGGAUUUCGGCUUCUCUUUCUCAACUUUCACAGUGAACUCAAUCAUGUUAUGAUCACUGCCUCCUAAGGGUUCCUUCACUUCCAUCACUCUAAUCACCUCUGGUUCAUUACACAAUACCCAAUCCAGUACAGCCGAUCCCCUAGUGGGCUCAACAACAAGCUGUUCUAAAAAGCCAUCUCAUAGACAUUCUACAAAUUCUCUCUCUUGAGAUCCAGUGCUGACCUGAUUUUCCCAAUCCACUUGCAUGUUAAAAUCCCCCACAAUUAUCAUAACACUUCCCUUCUGGCAAGCCUUUUCUAUUUCCUGUUGUAAUUUGUAGUCCACAUCACUGCAGCUGUUUGGAGGCCUGUAGAUAACUGCCAUCAGGGUCCUUUUACCCCUGCGAUUUCUUAGCUCAACCCAUAAAGAUUCUGCACCUUCUGAUCCUAUGUCAACUCUUUCUAAUGAUUUAAUAUCAUUUCUUACCAAUAAAGCCAUGCCACCCCUUCUACCUACUUGCCUAUCCUUCCGAUACACAGUGUAUCCUUGGACGUUCAGCUCCCAGAGACGUGCAUCCUUUAGCCACAUCUCAGUGAUGGCCACAAUAUCAUACCUGCCAAUCUGUAACUGUACGACAAGACCAUCCACCAUAUCCCUUAUGCUGUGUGCAUUUAAGUAUAACACCUUAAGUCCAGUAUUUGGUACUUUUUGCAUUUAUUGCACUGCAACUCAUCCCAAUGGCUGCAAAUUUAUCCCAUCACCUGCCUGUCCUUCCUGACAUCCUUACUGCUCACUACCUUAGAUCUAUUUCUGUUUUCCCUCUCCUCUGCUCCAUCAUUCUGGUUCCCAUCCCCCUGCCAAAUUAGUUUAAACCCUCCCUAACAGCUCUAUUAAACCUUCCCGCCAGGAUAUUGGUUUCCCUAGGAUUCAAGUGCAACCCGUCCUUUUUUUACAGGUCACACCUGCCCCAAAGGAGGUCCCAAUGAUCCAGAAACUUGAAUCCCUGCCUCUGCUCCAAUCCCUCAGCCACGCAUUUAUCCUCCACCUCAUUCCAUUCCUACUCUCACUGUCGCGUGGCACAGGCAGUAAUCCUGGGAUUACUACCUCUGCGGUCCUUCUUCUCAACUCCCUUCCUAACUCCCUAUAUUCUCCUUUCAGGACCUCUCCCCUUUUCCUACCUAUGUCACAUUUCAGGAUAUUGUGGGCACGAUCAGAAACAUCCCGGACCCUGGCACCAGGGAGGCAAACUACCAUCCGGGUCUCCUGAUCGUGUCCACAGAAUCACCUGUCUGACCCCAUAACAAUUGAGUCCCCUAUUACUACAGCCUUCCUCUUCCUUUCCCUACCCUUCUGAGCUACAGGACCGGACUCUGUGCCAGAGGCAUGGCCACUGGUGCUUCCCCCAGGUAGGCUGUCCCCCCCAACAGUACUCAAACAGGAGUACUUACUGUCAAGGGGUACAGCCACUAGCGUCCUCUCUAGUACCUGACUCUUCUCCUUCCCCCUCCUAACCAUGACCCACCUGUCUGCCUUCCGUGGCCCCAGUGUGACCACCUGCCUGUAACUCCUCUCUAUCAACUCCUCACUCUCCCUGAUCAGACAAAGGUCAUCGAGCUGCAGCUCCAGUUCCCUAACACGGUCCCUUAGGAGCUGCAGCUCGGCGCACCUGGCGCAGAUGUGGAUGUCUGCGAGGCUAGGAGACUCCAGAACCUCUCACAUCCGACACCAAGAACAACAAGCCACCCUCACAGUCAUACUUCCCCUUUCCUCAAAUAACAGGAAAAACUGAAACCUAAACCUACCUUGCCUCGCCCAUUGAACCAAAGCCCAUAAGCCUACACUCUGCUCCCAGCUCACUCCGCUGCCCACUCUUUAAGGCUGUGUCCUUUUUAAAUCUUCCCCGCUUCACUGCCCGACAUCACACGCCUGCACAGUCCCGCCUCUCUUAACUCCGAUGAGAAUAAGAAAAAUGGCUCCCGCCACACUCUCGUUCUGAUCCUCCGACUUCCUUCUUCAGAGGCAGAGAGCAAGUACAAUAAAAAGAACUAAGCUGGGGGAAGAGCCCAUGUUUCAGCAUUAUCCAGGCACUCUCCCUCUCACUCUUUUCAGAUUCAAAAUCAUUUAUUCAUCACAUGCCUCCGAACAUGCAGUGAAAUGCAUUAUUUGCAUUAACAACCAACACAACCGAAGGAUGUACUGGGGGCAGCCCACAAGUGUGGCAAAACAUUCCAGUGCACAUUCAUACCCACAAUGCUCGGCAGAACAAUACAACGAGCAACAUCAACAACAACAACAGAACAACAGCAGUCACCCACGCACACAGACAGGCCUUCAACCCCAGGACAGGGAGCCUCCAACCUCCAUUCAUAGGCCUAGAUUAACAGUCAUCGGGCCUUUGAUUCAGGUCAUAUUGACCAAAGGGCUUCGAACUUUGGUCCUUGCCUCCCAGUCUCGCUAACUUUGGUUUUGACUCUUGGGCUUACACCUCCAUUAUUGAUCCCAGGACUUUGAAAACUGGGCCUCAACGUCUGGACCCGCAAAGGCCUCCAACCAUGGGACUUGCCAAACUUGGUGGCCACCAGCCCUCAUACUUCUUCAGGACUGACUUCAGCAUAGACUUCUGAAUCUGGGGAGCUCCAGCCCUUGACCCCGGGGCCCACUGACCAUGUGUGUUGCAGGUGUUCAUCCCCACCGCCUGCCAUUCCAACUUCUAUCCACAGUGAUCGCUGGCCUUCAAUGGUGAGCUUGACGACCUGGACUCCUAAUACUUUUUCUCCAUUACACUGUUGACCGCAUUAGUGAUGCUCUGUUUGCACAGAACUCAAGAAUAUCACGACCUUUGCUGCCAAGCAUCUUCAUUCACAUGAUCCAUCUGCUUCACCCUCCAUCUUCAGCUCUGGGGAUAGGUUGGUGACCAGUUUCCAUUGCAAACCCCAGUUCUCUCAAAGUAUACCUCCUUUCCCAAUGCUUCCCAUAAGAUCUCCAUUCUAUUUUCCGGUUCCUCCAUUUCCAUCGUAUCUGUUCUGAUGAUGCAACUUUCCACUCCAGUGCAUUCAAUAAACACAAGAGAUUCUGCAGCCGCUGGAAAUCCAGAGUAAUACACACAAAGUACUGAAAGAACUCAGCAGGUCAGGCAGCAUCUAUGGAUGGGAAUAAAGGGACCAUGUUUCGUGCUGAGACCCUUCAUCAGGACUGGAAAGAAAGGAGGACGAAGCCAAAAUAAGGAGGAAGGAGGGGAAGGAGUACAAGCUGGCAGGUAAUAGGUGAGACCAGGUGAGCUCUUUCCAUUUCUCCCACUCUCCUCUCCUAUCAGAUUCCUCCUUCUUCAGCCCUCUACUAUCACCUCCCAGCUUCUCACUUCAUUCCCCCUCACAUCGUUUCCAGUUCUGAUGAAGGGUAUCAGCAUCAACUGUUUCUUCCUCUCCAUAGAUGCUGCCUGAGUUGCUGAGCUCCUCCAGCAUUUUGCCUGUGUUCCUGUGCAUUCAACGUGUCUUCCAUUCCACUUAAUGACCCUGAUGGUUGAGGGGUAAUAACUGUUCCUGAACCUGAGGCUCCUGUACCUCCUUCCUGAUGGCAACAGUAAGAAGAGAGCACGGCCGGGGUGGUGGAACAUGCCGCCCCAACUGGAAACUGACACAGCAAUUAACUCCAGAUUCCAGCAUCUGCAGCCUUUGAUGUCUCCAGAAAUUGAUAUUACCCUUCUGGAGGAGAAGGUAGAUGGGGCAUCUUUAAAGAGCAGAAGAAAUGUAACAAAACAUUUACAACCAGAACCAAGGACCAAAGAGUUAAGAACAACCUUCACAGACUGUGAUAAAGAGGUAUGCUGUGUCAUGGUCCCGACUCAACAGCAGCAGGCAUCUAAAUUUCGCCAUUCUACUUCCUCUGUCUAGGAUUAGUUGCCACUGUUCCUUUAAGACUCAGAAUGCUAAUUAUUGCCUGCCACAACCUUGAUGCACCAUCAAUAACUCACACUGAGACGUAAGGCGAGAUAUCGGCUUUUAUUGACUGGAAGAAGGAACCAGCAGUGAGUGACCACCAUACUACAUCCUGGAGACUGAGAUGCUGGCCCCAGGCCUCAAUCGCCUUUAUACAGGGGUCUGUGGGAGGAGCCACAGGAGCAGUCAGCAGGGGGCGUGUCCAGACAGGCACAUAGUUCACCACAAACCCUUCAUGGAAACUGUACUUAAAGGCCUCAUGCUGAGCACUCAGUGCUCAGCCGUAAGAGUCCCAUUUCUAGUUCUAAGGUUUGUAAUUUUGCUUUUGAAAUUUGUUUGUGUCAUCCUGUUUAUUUUGAGUCUGAGUCUGAGUUGAUACUAGACCUUACUCUGCACUGGGUUCACCACCAUCUAUUGCUCUCUUGUUACACACUGAAAUUAUUCAUCAUCCUACGCACUUUGACCCACAGUGAUCCACAAUAAAUGUCAGUAUCUUCAACAUUUGUCUGUUUGCUACCAUGGUCAAAGGCCUUUCAGUCAGUCUAACCUCCUUCAGUCCUGGAUCCCUCCUAAACCUCUGUCCCUUUCAGCCUGUUUACUUCUGAUUUUAAUCUACUCUUUCUCCUUCCCUCCCUCCAUAUAGUCAUGCCUUCAACUACCUUAACCCUAAGCUGACCCAAAAUGUAGUAUUUUCCAGCUGGGUAGUCUAUAACUCAGUAACAUGAACAUUGAAUUCUCCAGUUUCAGAUAACCUGCUCCCUCUCUGUCCCUUUCUCUCUCCUUCCGAUCUAUCCAGUUCCCCUCUCAAAUGCCACAACCCCUGCCCCCAGAUUCUGCCACCCCUCUCUUGCCUACUCCAUCUGCCCAUCAUUCACACACACCUCCCACGAGGUCUCCUUCUAUCAUAGUUCCUUGACUUGGUUCUUCCUAUCCUUCCUUUCUUGACAGAUUCUUUGAACUUCUGGUAAUGCCCCACACCCUUCACCAUUCCCCAUCCGCUUUUCCCUCUCUCACUUUAUCUCCUUGCCCACCCAUCGCCUCCUUCUGGUGCUCCUCCCCCCUUUUAUUUCUUCCAUGGCUUUCUGUCCUCUCCUAUCAGACUCACCCUUCUCUAGCCCUGUACUUCACCAAUCAACUUCCCAGCUCUUUACUCCAUCUCUUCUCUUCUCGGUUUCACCUAUCACCUUGUGUUUUUCUCUCUCCUCUCCUCCAUCUUUUAAAUCUACUCCUCAUCAUUUUUUCCCCGGUCCUGCCAAUGGGUCUCAGCCCAAAACGUCAACUGUACUUUUUCCCCAUCAAUGCUGCCUGGCCUGCUGAGUUCCUCCAGCAUUUUGUGUGGGUUACUGUGAAUACUGUGCCCUCCAGCAUUUUGUGUGGGUUACUGUGAAUACUGUGCAAUGAAUUCCACAGAUUCGCUGCCCUCUGGCUAAAGAAGUUCCUUCUCAUCUCUGUUCUAAAGGGUCGUCCUUGUAUUGUGAUGCUGCGCCCUCUUGUCCUAGACUCCCCCACUAUAGGAAACACCCUUUCCAUUUCCACUCUAUCCAGGCUUUCAAUAUGCGAUAGGUUUCAAUGAGAUCACCCCCUUGUUCUUAUAAUCUCCAGUGAGUAUAGGCCCAGAGCCACCACUCCUCAUUGGUUAAACUUUUCAUUCCCGGGAUCAUUCUCAUGAACCUCCUCUAGACGCUAGCAAAUCACUCUUUAGAUAAGUUGCCCAAAGCUGCUCACAGUAUUCCAAAUGCAGUCUGACCAAUACCUUAUAAUAUCUCAGCAUUAUACCCCUGCUUUUACAUUCUAGUCCUCUCAAAAUGAAGGCUAACAUGGCAUUUGCCUUCCUCACUACCGACUCAACCUGCAAGUUAACCUUCAGGGAAUCCUGCACGAGGACUCCCAACUCUCUGAUUUCUGAAGUUUGAAACGAUGAAAAGAUGUCAUCGGGAAAUCAAUGGCAUGGUUGAUCAGAGGCCUCCGAAACAUUACUGAACCGUGGCAGAAGAACAACAGUGAGAAGCUCGUGUAAUCACAUAAACUGUAUUACAGCACGUCACAGACUGCAAAACAUUCACACAGCCAAGGAAAGCAGAUUCAUAAAUGUGGAAAAUAUAAUUGCAGCGUGCUGGUGAGUUUCCUCAAAGUGUGCCAACAAGCAGCCGUGUGACAGAAUCUUUUCCAAUCAGAAACCAGUGACGGAUCACCCCUGUGGAGAUCGAUGAAUAAUUCUUUUGAUACGUUGCCCCUUAGCAAAUUAUAACCUGCAAUAUCGACUUUACGAUUGGAUUCAAGAACUCUGUGCCAAUGGGAGUUUACUGUGGUCCACUUGUUAGCAGUCUUGUCUCAGGUUCAAGUCCCACAGAAGUGUAAGCACAUAAUACUGGUCGACAGUCUAGGGGAGCCUUGCCCCAUCAGGAGCGUCAUCUUUUGGGUGAAUAUCAAACUAAGCCUCAACUGGUCGCAUCAAGGUCUAGCACGGCAAUUCGAAUGUGUGCAGGAAUGUAGGAAACCGCAGGGCAUAGUGGACUCUACCCAAUACAUCAUGGCCACAUCCUUUCCCACCACCUGUAAUAUCUGUAAGAGCUGCUAUCUUGGGGGCAGCAAGGCACUUUACAAUACCAGUGGCCCAGGCUCAAUUCCCACCAGCGUCUGUACGGAGUUUGUACAUUCCCCUCCCCCCCACCUCCCGUGACCAGUUUCAUCCAACAGUCCACAGACGAGCCAGUAGGUAGGUUAAUCGGUCAUUGUAAAUUGUCCCGCGAUUAGGCUAGGGUUAAAAUCCGGGGUUGCUAGGCAGCAUAGCUUGAAGAGCCAGAAUGGCCUAUUCUGUGCUGUAUCUCAGUAAAUAAAUAAAAGACAAUAUUUAUCAUCAAAGUUCCCCUGCAUCUGGGCCAUCCCACCUUCUUGCAGCUCCCACUGGUCAGGAGGUACAGAAGCCUGAGGUCACACCACCCGAUUCAAGAACAACUACUUCAGAUUCAAAGUCCAUGUAUUAUCAAAGCAUGUAUGCAGUAUACAACCCUUCAUGCAGUAAACUUCCCUUCAACCACUCGGUUCUUGAACCAACAGGCACAACCCCAAUCACUAAAAUUUAGUAGCACUGUGACUACUGUGCACUAAAGUAGACUUUGCCUUUCUUUGUUCUGUGUUCUUACUUUAUUAAAAAAUCUGUAUAAUUGAUGCUUAAUUUAUACUUCUUAUGUGAAUACUGCUGCUUUCAUAGAGGAUUGAAAAAACGUGAGGGGCUCAGAUAAAGUCUCAGAAAGCAACCAUGUCCCAUUAGAAGAGAGAUGAGGAGGAAUUUCUUUGAAUCUGUGGAGUUCAUUGCCACAGACACCCAUGGUGACCAAGUCAUGGGGUAUAUUUAAAGCAGAGGUAGAUAGAUUUUUGAUUAGUCAGGGCAUCAAAGGUUGCAGAGAGAAGGCAGGAGAAUGGGGUUGAGAGGGGUAAUAAAUCAGCCAUGAUGAAAUGGCAGAGCAGAUUUGAUGGGCCAAAUGGCCCAAUUCUGCUCCUGUUCCUAAAGGAGUUAUAAUGCUGUUCCCGUGAUGCUGCUGCGUCAGAGGUUAGAGUAGCCAGUACGUUCAAACAUACAAUGCUUGCGUUGAGGCUGUGCUGAGGGCAGCCCACAGGUGUCACCAUGCUUCUGGCACCAACAUAACGAGCUGUGGGCACACUGAUCAUAAACCACAGACCUUUGGAAUGUGGGAGGAAAACGUACAAAGUCCUUACAGACUGCGGCAGAAAUGGAAGCCCAGUCCUACAGCCGGCGCUGCUGUGUGUUGCGGUAUCCACUGCGCUACUGUGCCUGCCCAGUGGUACCGUACCUCUGCACCUGUGCACACGCGCACUUGUGAGCAUGACACGGAACUCAGCUUCGACUUUGACUGCCCGCAUGGGAGGAAGCUGAAGAAAUCACAGUACUAUUACAAAUAGGAGCAGCUGGGAGUUACCACCACUGUCCAAGCAAUCAACGUGAGUGCAGCAGAUGAUUUGCCACAAUCACAAAUCUGGGGGCUUACUGUGGGCAAACUGACCAAUGCUUUACACAACAUUAACAGCAGUUCAGGAGUAUUUCACUAGUUGGAAAGUGAUUGAGCCUUUACUAUACAACUCUGCCUUAUCACAGAGUCAAUAUUACCAACUUUGACGUUUCUACCUACUUAGAGAAUAGAAUUUUUUAUUCCUUACAUCCAUCUCACAACAUGUGAGUAAAAAUCUUUGUGUUGCAUCUCUGUCGCAAUAAGGAAGGGAAACGUGAGAGGAUAUUGCCCAAACACUGAUUGUAUACACCAUUGUUUAAUAUUCAUGUAUGUACAGUCAAGCCAUGGAUUCAAUCAGAUCAAUGUGUAUUGAUAAAUCUGAUGACCUGAUCAAAGAAGCUGUUGGUCCUGGCCUUAAUGCUGUGGUACCGUUUGCCAAGUGGAAGCAGCUGAAACAGUUUGUGAUUGGGGUGGAUGGAGUCCCUGAUGAUUCUCCGGGCCCUUUUUAUGCUCCUAUCGCAUUGCAGGUUGUACUUAAGAUUCACAGCAACACACACCAAAUGCUGGAGGAACUCCGCAGGACAGGCAGCAGCAAUGGAAAAGAGUAAGCAGUCGACAUUUUGGGCCGAGACACCUCUUCAGGACUGAGAAGAAAAGGGGAAAGUCGCCGGAAUAAGAAAAGUGAGGGAGGGGAAAUAGGCCAGCUGGAAGGUGAUAGGUGAAGCCAGGUGGGUGGGAAAGGUCAAGGGUUGGAGAAGAAGGAACCUAUAGAGGAGGAGAGUGGACAAUAGGAGAACGGGAAGGAGGUGGGGACCCAGGGGGGAGUGACAGGCAAGUGAGAAGAAGUGAAAGGUCAGAGUGGCAAAUGGAAGAAGGGUAGGUGGGAAAAUGUGCUUGGCAGCAGGAGCAAACGAUAUUUAUGCCAUUGGGCACCCAGACAGAAUAUAAGGUAUUGGUCUCUGAGGCACAUGAGGAGGCCAUGUCGGAAUAGGAAUGGGAAUCGGAAUUAAAAUGUUUGGCCACUGGGAAGUUCGCAUGGUGGAUAGAGAAGAAGUGCUCAAUGAGGUAGUCUCAACGGAGGCCAUGGAUUCAAGUCAAGAUUGUUUCUUGUCAUUCUUCAGUUCUCCAGAGUAAAGGAGAACAAAAAAAUAGUUAUGCCAGAUCCAAUGCAGCAUCAAAAAACACAAAAAGCAUAAAAGACACUAUAAAUAUAACAAAACAUAACUGCUGAGCAUGGCCGUAUAUACAUAAGAUAAGCUGAUAGACAUAGACAGCUUAUCUCAUUAGGGCAGUGGAGAGAAGUGGCUGAUUUUGAUCCAGUGAUGGCAGUGAGUCCACAGGUGUUGAUCAGCUUGAAGGAAGCAAUUGUUUCUGAGUCUAGUGGCCAUGGCGUAUGAGAACAAAUACUAAAUAGCAAGCAUUUAAAAAUGAAAAUCAAGUAUCAAGGUGCCUGAACCUACUGUUUAGUGUCAUUGUUAACCUAAGCCCAUGUCUUACUCAGAAAUCGGACUCGCUGCUUGAGAUUUGACAUCAGCCUGGUUCUCAGUACAGUCUCUAGGAGAGAAACUCGGUUGCAUUAAACCAGUUCCGUCCGCUGAUCCCAGAGCGCGCCUGCAUCCUAAACGACGCAGUAAAGCCCCUCCAGUCCCUUAAACGUGAUUUGAUGUGACUGGGCUCUUGGGGGAUGCGAACUCUCACCGAUGGACUUCUCUUUGUGCACAGGUUAUUGCACCCCUCAAGGCUGGGCUGCCCAAGGCCCCUGUGCACACCACUGGGGCUGGGCUGCUUGAAGGUAGUGAACAAAAUCACAGCAGCAUCACAGCCGAAUGAAAAAAGGAACAAAGCUGACACGUGACCUCAGAUCCCUGGGGAGGUGUCACAUCCCGCUCGCCCGAGCCGUGUGGGUCUUCGAAGUCCUGUCCGUGACACACACAAAGCCUCAUUUACAAUUAGACCCACUGCUUCACCUCCUCUUUCACCUUUCCCCCUACCAGCCGCCAUCCCCACCCCCCUCGUCUGAUCAAAAUUCCUUCAUCAUCUCACAGAUUGCUCUGACCUUUUACUGCAGUCGCCGUAUUAGCUGAUGGAACAGCUCACAUCCUAGAUUCAGUUAAAGAAGAAAUGUGCGGUGACACCUGUUUUGUGAAUGGGGUUGUCGCUGGCUUGGUUAAGAGGGUUACGUGUAUGCAACCUGUUGUGAGAUUAUGUACAACCUACAGACACACUGUCAAAGACUCUUUACAACUCAUGUUCUCAGUACUGCCUUUUAUUUGAGCAGUUUGCUCGCUUUACACAUCAGUCAUAGACAAGUAUAGCACAGAAACAGGCCCUUUGGCCCAUCUAGUCCUCAGACAUCCCACCUUGCAAAAACUCAUUUCAGGGAGGUAGCACCCCAUGCCCCCCACAACCCCAUAUCCCCCCCCCAAGGGUGUAUGUAAUACUUUGUUUAGUGAUUUUGUCUAAUCUGUAAACCAAGUUGGGUAUAUGCAGAAAAUGUGACAUUAAAAUAUGUACUUAUAUUAUCGUGAAGUCAUUUUUUUAUUCUAUUACAACUUUAAGCAAGUCUACGGGGACAUCAAUAGAGUAGCUCCAGAGCAGCUAGCCAAGUAGUUUACAUAACGUUAGCUAUGCUAAUGAACGAAUGACACCUGCUAAACUCACCUCAACAUGUCUUUUACAUUUUAACCCACCAUGGGCAAUAGAAAAGUCACUGUUGCAAACAGUGCAGCGAGCAACACUUCAUUAUUUUUGAGGUUGACUGUAAAGCCCGCCCACAGAGAAAACUGAUAGAUCUACUUAGCACAAAGAGAGACCAAUCAGGAUGCUCCCUCGUGCUCUUGCUCUUCCUUUUCCUCUCCGUCUCCCUCUCCCUGUCCCUCUGAAAAAUGAUUUCCAGGAUAUUGUAUAUAAUUUGCGGCAUCAGGGAGCCGCUAUCAAUAUGUGGGAGACUCCCGGAACUUCCGGGAGAGGUGGGAUGUCUGAAUCUGUGCUGAAACCAUUUAAACUUCCCAGUCCCAACGACCUACGUCAGGAACGUAGGCCUCCACACCACUACCAUCCCUGUUCCUAUCCAAACUUCUCUUAAACUCUGAAAUUGAGCUUGCAGGCUCCACUUAGGCUGACGACUCUGAUGACCCUUUGAGUGAAGAAGUUUUCCCCUUGCGUUCCCCUUAAACUUCUCACCUUUCACCUUUAACCCCGGACCUCUGUUUGUAGGCCCACCCAACCUCAGUGGAAAAAGCCUUCUUUCAUAUACCCUAACUAUAUUCCUCAUAAUGUAUAGUUUUGCAUAAUAUUCUAUUCUAG